GAGGGUAUAGCUCAAUGGUAGAGCACAUGAUUAGCAUGCACAAGGUCCUGGGUUCAACCCUUAGUAUCUCCA
rnacentral:tRNA from 1 species